rfam:Oryza sativa Japonica Group DNA, chromosome 4, cultivar: Nipponbare, complete sequence.
AAAAAGAUAAACCCUAGUUUUUAUGUCCAACGUUUAACCGUCCGUCUUAUUUAAAAAAAUAUGAAAAAAAUUAAAAAGACAAGUCAUGCAUAAAAUAUUAAUCAUGUAUUAUCAUCUAACAACAAUAAAAAUAUGAAUUAUAAAAAAAUUUCAUAUAAGACGGACAGUCAAAGUUGAACACAAAAACUUAGGUUUGACUUUUUU